AUUGAACGCUGGCGGCAGGCCUAACACAUGCAAGUCGAACGGUAACAGGAAGACGCUUGCUUCUUUGCUGACGAGUGGCGGACGGGUGAGUAAUGUCUGGGAAACUGCCUGAUGGAGGGGGAUAACUACUGGAAACGGUAGCUAAUACCGCAUAACGUCGCAAGACCAAAGAGGGGGACCUUCGGGCCUCUUGCCAUCGGAUGUGCCCAGAUGGGAUUAGCUAGUAGGUGGGGUAACGGCUCAUCUAGGCGACGAUCCCUAGCUGGUCUGAGAGGAUGACCAGCCACACUGGAACUGAGACACGGUCCAGACUCCUACGGGAGGCAGCAGUGGGGAAUAUUGCACAAUGGGCGCAAGCCUGAUGCAGCCAUGCCGCGUGUAUGAAGAAGGCCUUCGGGUUGUAAAGUACUUUCAGCGGGGAGGAAGGGAGUAAAGUUAAUACCUUUGCUCAUUGACGUUACCCGCAGAAGAAGCACCGGCUAACUCCGUG
rnacentral:rRNA from 1 species